AUACAUGCAAGUCGAGCGAACAGAUAAGGAGCUUGCUCCUUUGACGUUAGCGGCGGACGGGUGAGUAACACGUGGGUAACCUACCUAUAAGACUGGGAUAACUUCGGGAAACCGGAGCUAAUACCGGAUAACAUUUGGAACCGCAUGGUUCUAAAGUGAAAGAUGGUUUUGCUAUCACUUAUAGAUGGACCCGCGCCGUAUUAGCUAGUUGGUAAGGUAACGGCUUACCAAGGCGACGAUACGUAGCCGACCUGAGAGGGUGAUCGGCCACACUGGAACUGAGACACGGUCCAGACUCCUACGGGAGGCAGCAGUAGGGAAUCUUCCGCAAUGGGCGAAAGCCUGACGGAGCAACGCCGCGUGAGUGAUGAAGGGUUUCGGCUCGUAAAACUCUGUUAUUAGGGAAGAACAAACGUGUAAGUAACUGUGCACGUCUUGACGGUACCUAAUCAGAAAGCC
rnacentral:rRNA from 1 species